GAUGAACGCUGGCGGCGUGCCUAAUACAUGCAAGUCGAGCGAACAGAUAAGGAGCUUGCUCCUUUGACGUUAGCGGCGGACGGGUGAGUAACACGUGGAUAACCUACCUAUAAGACUGGGAUAACUUCGGGAAACCGGAGCUAAUACCGGAUAACAUAUUGAACCGCAUGGUUCAAUAGUGAAAGGCGGCUUUGCUGUCACUUAUAGAUGGAUCCGCGCCGUAUUAGCUAGUUAGUAAGGUAACGGCUUACCAAGGCAACGAUACGUAGCCGACCUGAGAGGGUGAUCGGCCACACUGGAACUGAGACACGGUCCAGACUCCUACGGGAGGCAGCAGUAGGGAAUCUUCCGCAAUGGGCGAAAGCCUGACGGAGCAACGCCGCGUGAGUGAUGAAGGUCUUCGGAUCGUAAAACUCUGUUAUCAGGGAAGAACAAAUGUGUAAGUAACUGUGCACAUCUUGACGGUACCUGAUCAGAAAGCCACGGCUAACUACGUG
rnacentral:rRNA from 1 species